AUUGAACGCUGGCGGCAGGCCUAACACAUGCAAGUCGAACGAGUGGCGGACGGGUGAGUAAUGUCUGGGAAACUGCCCGAUGGAGGGGGAUAACUACUGGAAACGGUAGCUAAUACCGCAUACCAUCGGAUGUGCCCAGAUGGGAUUAGCGAGUAGGUGGGGUAACGGCUCACCUAGGCGACGAUCCCUAGCGGGGCUGAGAGGAUGACCAGCCAAACGGGAACUGAGCCACGGUGCAGACUCCUACGGGAGGCAGCAGUGGGGAAUAUGGCACAAUGGGCGCAAGCCUGAUGCAGCCAUGCCGCGUGUAUGAAGAAGGCCUUCGGGUUGUAAAGUACUUGCAUCGGGGAGGCGUUACCCGCAGAAGAAGCACCGGCUAACGCCGUGCCAGCAGCCGCGGUAAUA
rnacentral:rRNA from 1 species